rnacentral:rRNA from 1 species
GACGAACGCUGGCGGCGUGCUUAACACAUGCAAGUCGAACGGUGAAGCGCCUUCCUUUUUGGUGGGUGUGGAUGAGUGGCGAACGGGUGAGUAACACGUGAGUAACCUGCCCCCUUCUUCUGGAUAACCGCAUGAAAGUGUGGCUAAUACGGGAUAUUCUGGGUCUGUCGCAUGAUGGGUCUGGGAAAGAUAUUGUUUCGGUGGGGGAUAGGCUCGCGGCCUAUCAGCUUGUUGGUGGGGUGAUGGCCUACCAAGGCGGUGACGGGUAGCCGGCCUGAGAGGGGGGAGGGGGACAGGGGGGAUGAGCCACGGCCCAGACUCCGAGGGGGGGCAGGAGUGGGGAAUGUUGCAAAAUGGGGGAAAGCCUGAGGAAGGGGCGCCGGGGGGGGGGUGGAGGCCUUCGGGGGGGGAGACUCUUUCCGAGGUGAAGAAGGCCUGCCUCGGUGGUGGGUGGGUGGAGGGUAGUGGGAAAAAAAGCCCGGGUAAACAUGGG